rnacentral:rRNA from 1 species
AGUGAACGCUGGCGGUAGGCCUAACACAUGCAAGUCGAACGGCAGCACAGUAAGAGCUUGCUCUUACGGGUGGCGAGUGGCGGACGGGUGAGGAAUACAUCGGAAUCUACUUUUUCGUGGGGGAUAACGUAGGGAAACUUACGCUAAUACCGCAUACGCCCUACGGGUGAAAGCAGGGGAUCUUCGGACCUUGCGCGAUUGAAUGAGCCGAUGUCGGAUUAGCUAGUUGGCGGGGUAAAGGCCCACCAAGGCGACGAUCCGUAGCUGGUCUGAGAGGAUGAUCAGCCACACUGGAACUGAGACACGGUCCAGACUCCUACGGGAGGCAGCAGUGGGGAAUAUUGGACAAUGGGCGCAAGCCUGAUCCAGCCAUACCGCGUGGGUGAAGAAGGCCUUCGGGUUGUAAAGCCCUUUUGUUGGGAAAGAAAAGCAGCAAGUUAAUACCCCGCUGUUCUGACGGUACCCAAAGAAUAAGCACCGGCUAACUUCGUG